CUCCAAGGCUAAAUACUCCUGACUGACCGAUAGUGAACCAGUACCGUGAGGGAAAGGCGAAAAGAACCCCGGCGAGGGGAGUGAAAAAGAACCUGAAACCGUGUACGUACAAGCAGUGGGAGCACGCUUAGGCGUGUGACUGCGUACCUUUUGUAUAAUGGGUCAGCGACUUAUAUUCUGUAGCAAGGUUAACCGAAUAGGGGAGCCGAAGGGAAACCGAGUCUUAACUGGGCGUUAAGUUGCAGGGUAUAGACCCGAAACCCGGUGAUCUAGCCAUGGGCAGGUUGAAGGUUGGGUAACACUAACUGGAGGACCGAACCGACUAAUGUUGAAAAAUUAGCGGAUGACUUGUGGCUGGGGGUGAAAGGCCAAUCAAACCGGGAGAUAGCUGGUUCUCCCCGAAAGCUAUUUAGGUAGCGCCUCGUGAAUUCAUCUCCGGGGGUAGAGCACUGUUUCGGCAAGGGGGUCAUCCCGACUUACCAACCCGAUGCAAACUGCGAAUACCGGAGAAUGUUAUCACGGGAGACACACGGCGGGUGCUAACGUCCGUCGUGAAGAGGGAAACAACCCAGACCGCCAGCUAAGGUCCCAAAGUCAUGGUUAAGUGGGAAACGAUGUGGGAAGGCCCAGACAGCCAGGAUGUUGGCUUAGAAGCAGCCAUCAUUUAAAGAAAGCGUAAUAGCUCACUGGUCGAGUCGGCCUGCGCGGAAGAUGUAACGGGGCUAAACCAUGCACCGAAGCUGCGGCAGCGACGCUUAUGCGUUGUUGGGUAGGGGAGCGUUCUGUAAGCCUGCGAAGGUGUGCUGUGAGGCAUGCUGGAGGUAUCAGAAGUGCGAAUGCUGACAUAAGUAACGAUAAAGCGGGUGAAAAGCCCGCUCGCCGGAAGACCAAGGGUUCCUGUCCAACGUUAAUCGGGGCAGGGUGAGUCGACCCCUAAGGCGAGGCCGAAAGGCGUAGUCGAUGGGAAACAGGUUAAUAUUCCUGUACUUGGUGUUACUGCGAAGGGGGGACGGAGAAGGCUAUGUUGGCCGGGCGACGGUUGUCCCGGUUUAAGCGUGUAGGCUGGUUUUCCAGGCAAAUCCGGAAAAUCAAGGCUGAGGCGUGAUGACGAGGCACUACGGUGCUGAAGCAACAAAUGCCCUGCUUCCAGGAAAAGCCUCUAAGCAUCAGGUAACAUCAAAUCGUACCCCAAACCGACACAGGUGGUCAGGUAGAGAAUACCAAGGCGCUUGAGAGAACUCGGGUGAAGGAACUAGGCAAAAUGGUGCCGUAACU
rnacentral:rRNA from 1 species